GAUGAACGCUGGCGGCGUGCCUAAUACAUGCAAGUCGAGCGAACGGACGAGAAGCUUGCUUUUCUGAUGUUAGCGGCGGACGGGUGAGUAACACGUGGAUAACCUACCUAUAAGACUGGGAUAACUUCGGGAAACCGGAGCUAAUACCGGAUAAUAUAUUGAACCGCAUGGUUCAAAAGUGAAAGACGGUCUUGCUGUCACUUAUAGAUGGAUCCGCGCUGCAUUAGCUAGUUGGUAAGGUAACGGCUUACCAAGGCAACGAUGCAUAGCCGACCUGAGAGGGUGAUCGGCCACACUGGAACUGAGACACGGUCCAGACUCCUACGGGAGGCAGCAGUAGGGAAUCUUCCGCAAUGGGCGAAAGCCUGACGGAGCAACGCCGCGUGAGUGAUGAAGGUCUUCGGAUCGUAAAACUCUGUUAUUAGGGAAGAACAUAUGUGUAAGUAACUGUGCACAUCUUGACGGUACCUAAUCAGAAAGCCACGGCUAACUACGUG
rnacentral:rRNA from 1 species